CAACCACCAGUUGAGUCGAUGAUUCAGUGAGUUCCUUAUAAGGAAAUAUAUUUGUUACCACCUAGUAAUUUAAAUGUAUUAUUUAUUGCUUUAAAAUGAACACAUAUAUUUAUCAUCAGGGGAAGAGACAGUCUGGGCAGCAGCAACAAGACAACUAUUACAAGUAGAGAUGGGUUUCAAGAACUGACACAACCACAUAUCCUCCAAAUCAUCUCUGCGUGGAUGGCAGCAAGGAUCCAGGAUCAAGAGAUCAUUCUUCAUGGAGACUGUUCCACAGGAAGCAGUUUCUCCUGGGUGAAAAACUAAACCUGGUUGUUUCAGCAUCACUCAGGCAAGACUAAAUACUUUUAAAUUGAUUUCAGUUGGUUAUGUGUUUCAGGUCAUCCUGACCAUUCUGCUGUCCUGGAUGUAAGGCCGUGCUGGAACUACAUUUCUCGUGGUUGAAAGAUUUGUGGAGCGGUAUCCAGACAUAUAAUGCCCCAUCACACGGGGCGUCAACGCCUCUCGUUUACUUUUAAAUGAAGUGACGUCAAGGAUGGUGAAAUUAAUUCUAGAAAUUAAUUCUAAAUAGAAGUUGAAGACUUCUCAAGCGCCAAUGCAGCCGUCCUCCAGUCAGAACAUCUUAUGCAAAUACCCAAGUGCAGACGCAAGCCAAUCAAGUGCAUGCAAUACCAGAAAACUAAUGUGAUUGGCUGUCACUAUGAGAAGAGACAGUAAUUCUGAUCCGAUAUCAGUGUCGUUUUUUGCAAAAAAAAAUUUAAAUCAAUGUAGAAUUUUCUAUACUUCUGUGUAAGGAUGUCAAUUUUCAAUCAUUUCCAUGAUCGAUCGUCGUUUAAAUUAAUGAACAAAUAAUCGAUUAAUCGUUAACC